rnacentral:rRNA from 1 species
UACGUAGGGGGCAAGCGUUGGUCCGGAAUCAUUGGGCGUAAAGCGCGUGUAGGCGGCUCGAUAAGUCUGCUGUGAAAGUUCAGGGCUCAACCCUGAAAUGCCGGUGGAAACUGUCGAGCUAGAGUCCGGAAGAGGCGAGUGGAAUUCCUGGUGUAGCGGUGAAAUGCGCAGAUAUCAGGAGGAACACCAAUGGCGAAGGCAGCUCGCUGGGACGGUACUGACGCUGAGACGCGAAAGCGUGGGGAGCAAACAGG